GUUGAACGCUGGCGGCGUGCUUAACACAUGCAAGACGAGCGAGUGGAUCUCCUUCAGGAGAGAAGCUAGCGGCGGACGGGUGAGUAACACGUGGGCAACCUGCCUCAUAGAGGGGAAUAGCCUCCCGAAAGGGAGAUUAAUACCGCAUAAGGUUGUAGCUUCGCAUGAAGUAGCAAUUAAAGGAGCAAUCCGCUAUGAGAUGGGCCCGCGGCGCAUUAGCUAGUUGGUGAGGUAACGGCUCACCAAGGCGACGAUGCGUAGCCGACCUGAGAGGGUGAUCGGCCACAUUGGGACUGAGACACGGCCCAGACUCCUACGGGAGGCAGCAGUGGGGGAUAUUGCACAAUGGGGGAAACCCUGAUGCAGCAACGCCGCGUGAGUGAUGACGGCCUUCGGGUUGUAAAGCUCUGUCUUCAGGGACGAUAAUGGCGGUACCUGAGGAGGAAGCCACGGCUAACUACGUGCCAGCCGCCGCAGUAACAC
rnacentral:rRNA from 1 species